GAUGAACGCUGGCGGUAUGCUUAACACAUGCAAGUCGAACGGACUCUUCGGAGUUAGUGGCGGACGGGUGAGUAACGCGUGAGAAUCUGGCUUUGGGUUCGGGACAACCACUGGAAACGGUGGCUAAUACCGGAUGUGCCGAGAGGUAAAAGAGAAAUUGCCUGAAGAUGAGCUCGCGUCUGAUUAGCUAGUUGGUGAGGUAAAGGCUCACCAAGGCAGCGAUCAGUAGCUGGUCUGAGAGGAUGACCAGCCACACUGGGACUGAGACACGGCCCAGACUCCUACGGGAGGCAGCAGUGGGGAAUUUUCCGCAAUGGGCGAAAACCUGACGGAGCAAUACCGCGUGAGGGAAGAAGGCUCUUGGGUUGUAAACCUCUUUUCUUAGGGAAGAACAAAAUGACGGUACCUAAGGAAUCAGCAUCGGCUAACUCCGUG
rnacentral:rRNA from 1 species